AUAUAAUUAAGCGGAGGAAAAGAAACUAACAAGGAUUCCCUUAGUAACGGCGAGUGAAGCGGGAAGAGCUCAGACUUUAAAUCUUCGGAAUUGUAGUCUGCAUAAGCUACGUCAUCUCUAGUCGUCGGUAAAGUGUCCUGGAACGGACCGCCAAGGAGGGUGAUAGCCCCGUUCAUACCGAUGGCGAAGGUGUUCGACGAGCUUUCUAAGAGUCGAGUUGCUUGGGACUGCAGCUCUAAGUGGGUGGUAAAUUCCAUCUAAAGCUAAAUAUUGGUGGGAGACCGAUAGCGCACAAGUA
rnacentral:rRNA from 1 species